GAACGAUAUCUAACAGCGACCAGGAAUCUACCUCGAUAAGACGCAAACCAACUCUAGCGAAGUUUCAACUUCAUCUUGUUUUCAAGGUUUUCACCGGACACUCACACAUCAAGCACGCUAGCGGUUCAACUGUCAUUUUUUUUUCUUUUCGUCACCAUCUUUUGUACCGGCAACAUGUCUUUUCCUUUUAAGAUCGUGACUGGUUCUUUCUGAUUAAAUUUGAAUCCUCUCCGGAUCGAGGAAAUAAGCAAACUCCAGAAGGAAUAAGCAUACUCCGCUAAGGCCAAAGUGCAGUUGGUGGAAAAAGCACAAUAAAGUGAUACGCGGCGUUGGCAAAAACCGCAGGCUCUAGCGUGAACAGUUGGCGGUUGCUAAUGGAGGAUUUUGCCGUAAAUGGCAUCUUAUUGUGCUUUUGAUGGUGGAUACUGAAGUGCUAGCUCAAUUCGUCGGAUGAAACGGUCCACCGUUGCAGAACCAUGUGCUUGGCUUCAAUGCCUCAGGUACGAAGGUCAGUGAUUACCCAGGUCCCGGAAAUUCCCAAAACAGGUGAAUGAAGCUGUUACUGCAUACAAAAGUAUCCCAUCGGAGAAGAACCAACCGAGGAACUGAAAGGUUAAUUGUAGCUUAAUGAGGCAUUUUACAACAGAUAUGAUGCAACGUUUCUAUUUGCCGUAUUUUUAUUUCCGACGACACCAGCUGCCGGUUAAAAUCAUUGCGGGAUCCAACCAAAAAUCCAUCCAGGUCAGAUCCCAAUUUAAAAUCAUCCAUCAUAUGCUUCACGCUCGAGAGAUGUUCGAAACGAUGUCACCGGCUUCAUCGACGAGGUACUUUCGACCCGAUUUGGCCAAUCUAAUUUAACGAAACACUCGUUGACCAGCGGGAGGAUUACGCAGGGAUUUUCAGGGCUAUAGAGUCACCACAUCGCAGGGUGUUCCGCAUGCUGCCACGAUUCCGAUGACAGACGUUCCAUGCCUUUUUAAUUUAAUCAUUAUAAACAUAAAAAAGAAGUAUAAAAUAAAAAAAAAUCCAAACUAUAAAACAGCUUCGAAAAAGUAAAUAAUCCGAAAAUUUCAAAAUAAAAAGAAGAAGGAAAAUAAAAUUAUAUCUCCAAGAUAUCUAGGAAAAUUCUACUAGAAUAGUGGUACCCAUGUCUAAGAGGUAUCUAAGAAAUAUCGAAGAGAUUCUAUCUGUCAAAU